GGGGAGAUAUGGUCAAUGGCCUAACGGCCGAACCAGCAACUUGGAAGAAUGAAAGAGAACAUUGUUCUCGUAACGAUUAUAUCGUAUAAAAUUCUAUAUAAAAAAAAAUUGAUAAUGACAAAUUUUUAUAUAUAAGUCUUGUCUAAAUUACGUGCCAGCAGACGCGGUAAUACGUAGAAGACUAGUGUUAUUCAUUGUUAAUGGGUUUAAAGGGUACAUAGACGGAAAGUUAAGCCUUAUUCGGAACUAAUUUUCUAGAGUUUUAUAUGAGGAGGUAGAACAUAUGGAGUAAAGUUGAUAUUUAGUUAUACUGUAGAGACAGGUAUCGGCGAAGGCGGCCUUUUAUGUGAAAACUGACGUUGAGGGACGAAGCCCUUGGUAACGAUAAGGAUUAGACACCCUAAUAGUCUUGGGAGAAAAUGAUGAAUGUCAUAAAUUAGAAAAUUUAGUUUAUAAACGAAAGUGCAAGCAUUCCACCUCAUGAGUAAAGCGGCAACGCUCAAAUUGAAAUCAUUAGACCGUUUCUGAAACCAGUAGUGAAGUAUGUUAUUUAAUUCGAUGAUCCGCGAAUAAUCUUACCACGAUUUGUAUAUUAUACAAGUGCUGCACGGCUGUCUUUAGCUAAUGUCGUGAGAUUUGGUUAACUCCUUUAAUUAGCGCAAGCCCUUACUUUAUUUAAAUAUUUUUUAUAAAGUAGUUCGCCAUUAUAACGGUUAGAUAAUAGGGAUCAAGACAAGUCAUCAUGGCCUUAAUAUUGUGGGCU
rnacentral:rRNA from 1 species